GAUGAACGCUGGCGGUGUGCCUAAUACAUGCAAGUCGAGCGGCAGCACGGUCUUCGGACUGGUGGCGAGCGGCGGACGGCUGAGUAACGCGUGGGAACGUGCCCCAAAGUGAGGGAUAACUCCGGGAAACCGGAGCUAAUACCGCAUAUGAUCUUCGGAUUAAAGUAUUUAUACGCUUUGGGAGCGGCCUGCGUACGAUUAGAUUGUUGGUGAGGUAAAGGCUCACCAAGUCGACGAUCGUUAGCUGGUCUGAGAGGAUGAUCAGCCAGACUGGGACUGAGACACGGCCCAGACUCCUACGGGAGGCAGCAGUGAGGAAUCUUCCACAAUGGGCGAAAGCCUGAUGGAGCAACACCGCGUGAAGGAUGAAGGCCCUCGGGUCGUAAACUUCUUUUAUGAGCGAAGAAUAUGACGGUAACUCAUGAAUAAGGGUCGGCUAACUACGUGCCAGCCGCCGCGGUAA
rnacentral:rRNA from 1 species